AUUGAACGCUGGCGGCAUGCCUUACACAUGCAAGUCGAACGGCAGCACGGGAGCAAUCCUGGUGGCGAGUGGCGAACGGGUGAGUAAUGUAUCGGAACGUGCCCAGUCGUGGGGGAUAACGUAGCGAAAGCUACGCUAAUACCGCAUACGAUCUGUGGAUGAAAGCGGGGGCCCGUACUGCCUCGCGCGGUUGGAGCGGCCGAUAUCAGAUUAGGUAGUUGGUGGGGUAAAGGCCUACCAAGCCGACGAUCUGUAGCUGGUCUGACAGGACGACCAGCCACACUGGGACUGAGACACGGCCCAGACUCCUACGGGAGGCAGCAGUGGGGAAUUUUGGACAAUGGGCGCAAGCCUGAUCCAGCAAUGCCGCGUGCAGGAUGAAGGCCUUCGGGUUGUAAACUGCUUUUGUACGGAGCGAAAAGGCUCUCUCUAAUACAGGGGGCUCAUGACGGUACCGUAAGAAUAAGCACCGGCUAACUACGUGCCAGCAGCCGCCGUAA
rnacentral:rRNA from 1 species